rnacentral:tRNA from 1 species
GGUCUUCUUGGAGUGAAUGUUGUCUUGAAAACAACUUAAGGGUGUUCGAAUCAUCUAAAGACUU